AACGACCUCUGGCGGCAUGCCUAAAACAUGCCAGCCGAACGAGAUCUUCGGGUCUAGUGGCGCACGGGUGCGUAACGCGUGGGAAUCUGCCCUUUGGUUCGGAAUAACAGUUGGAAACGACUGCUAAUACCGGAUGAUCACGAAAGUACAAAGAUUUAUCGCCAGAGAAUGAGCCCGCGUAGGAUUAGCUAGUUGGUGUGGUAAAGGCGCACCAAGGCUACGAUCCUUAGCUGGUCUGAGAGGAUGAUCAGCCACAGUGGGACUGAGACACGGCCCAGACUACUACUGGGGGCAGCAGUGGGGAAUAUUGGACAAUGGUCGAAAGCCUGAUCCAGCAAUGCCGCGUGAGUGAUGAAGGCCUUAGGGUUGUAAAGCUCUUUUACCCGGGAUGAUAAUGACAGUACCGGGAGAAUAAGCUCCGGCUAACUCCGUGCCAGCCGCCGCGGUAA
rnacentral:rRNA from 1 species